GAUGAACGCUGGCGGCGUGCCUAAUACAUGCAAGUCGAGCGAAUGGAUUAAGAGCUUGCUCUUAUGAAGUUAGCGGCGGACGGGUGAGUAACACGUGGGUAACCUGCCCAUAAGACUGGGAUAACUCCGGGAAACCGGGGCUAAUACCGGAUAAUAUUUUGAACUGCAUGGUUCAAAAUUGAAAGUCGGCUUCGGCUGUCACUUAUGGAUGGACCCGCGUCGCAUUAGCUAGUUGGUGAGGUAACGGCUCACAAAGGCAACGAUGCGUAGCCGACCUGAGAGGGUGAUCGGCCACACUGGGACUGAGACACGGCCCAGACUCCUACGGGAGGCAGCAGUAGGGAAUCUUCCGCAAUGGACGAAAGUCUGACGGAGCAACGCCGCGUGAGUGAUGAAGGCUUUCGGGUCGUAAAACUCUGUUGUUAGGGAAGAACAAGUGCUAGUUGAAUAAGCUGGCACCUUGACGGUACCUAACCAGAAAGCCACGGCUAACUACGUGCCAGCCGCCGCAGUAA
rnacentral:rRNA from 1 species